rnacentral:lncRNA from 1 species
UGCUCAUGAAACUUGCACCUGGGUUCAUUUCUGGAGUGAAAGGGGCAACUUUCGGGUGCAUAGAGAGGGAGAGACAAGCCCUUCUCAAGUUUAAAGAAGACCUUAUUGAUGACUUUGGUCUUCUUUCAACCUGGGGAAGUGAAGAAGAGAAGAGGGAUUGCUGCAAAUGGAGGGGAGUUGGAUGCAACAAUCGAACUGGUCAUGUUACUCAUCUCGAUCUUCACUGGGAGAAAAGCGGCAAGUAUUUAACUGGUAAGAUCAGUAAUUCAUUACUGGAGUUGCAGUAUUUGAGUCACCUGAAUCUAAGUGGAAGCCAUUUUCAGUAUCCAAGUUUCGUGAAUACAAGGGGAAGCGAUUUUCCAGGGAGUCCUUUUGAAGGGAGUACUUUUCCAUAUUUCAUUGGAUCUCUAAAAAAACUAAGAUACCUUGAUCUCUCCUUUACCGGUGUUGUUGGAACUCAGCUUUGGAAUCUCUCAAGAUUACAGAAUAUUUUGACUUGAGUAGAAACAACCUCAGUCAAGCUACUGACUGGAUGGAAAUGGUUAACAAGGUCCCUUUUUUAAAAGUCUUACGGUUAAGUGGAUGUGAUCUUUCAAAUAGCAGUCUUCCCUCUCUUUCUUUUACGAAUUCUUCUAAAUCCCUAGCUGUCAUUGAUCUCUCUUACAACAAUAUUGCUUCUUCAACAUUCAAUUGGUUGUCCAAAUUUAGUAACAGCCUUGUUGAUCUUGAUGUUAGUUGGAAUUGGGUUGAUGUUAAUAGGAAUUGGGAUAACAGUUCUGAAAACCUUGAUUGGCUUUCCUAUCUUUCUUCAUUCUCCGGGUGAAAAUCAAGAUCAGUAACAUGACCAGUUCGAUUGUUGCAUCCAACUCCUUUCUAUUUGCAGCAAUCCCUCUUCUCUUCUACGCUCCCCAAGUUGAAAGAUUGGCGCCCAUUUACAUAUAGAAUUCCUUCUGCAUGGAAAUGGCAAAGUGCUAUUUUAAUGGGCCGUAGGCUGGCCAACCUGCAAUGGUUGAGCCGAGUCUAGCCCAAAUCUUUUUAAAAAAACAACAAAAAUCAAAUUUAUUAAGCCAAUCUCGGGCCAACCUUUUUUGGGGGUUGAAUUCAGCACUACAAGAAUGGGCUCCACCUAGUCAUCUAGGCCGCUUAGCCUACAUAUUUAAUAUUAUUUAAUUAUAAUAAUAUAAUAUUAUAUUUAUAAAAAAUAAAAACAAAUUCAAAAAAAAUUUCAAGGGGCAUUUUAAAAUAUUUUUUAUUUUCUCGCGUGUUUUUCUACCAAUUUUACUUAAUAUUGAGUUAUAUUUUUACAUUGUAAGAUACAAAUUUGAUAUUAAAAUACCUGAUUUUCUCCAAAAUCUCUCUAAAAAAUUCAAAAACAAAUAUCAAAACUUUUAAAUUAAUUUCCCUUUUAAAAAAAGAAAAAAAUAUUUUGUUUUCAUGCAUACGGCCAAAUCCUAAAAUUUUUUCAAGCAUAUUUUAAUGAAAAAACAAAAAUUGCAUCGUUCUUAUAUUUUAAAAUACAAAAUGAAUAUCGUAAUCAUUUUAUGAUUAUCCAUUAAGGUUUGACUAAAAUGUCAAAAACCCUUUACCAAUAAUUUUUUAUUAGGGUCUAGGUGUAAACUUUACUAUAUGUGGGGUGUAAAACUACAUAAUAGAGUAAACCCUCAUGUAUUAAAGAUACAAGGUGUGAAAUAAAUGCGAUACUAAAUUUUGAACUUUUGAACACUUAGAAUUAAACCUAACGAAGUAGAAACUAUUUCACAUAGAGAGAUUUGUCUUAGACUUUAGAAAAGACCAACGAAUAUAAACCCGACCUAAAAAAACAAUCAAACAACAAUGCUACUUACCUUAGAUAGGUGGGGUGAUGCGUCUUCUCCUUGCAUAACCAGUCCUUUACUCAGGCUAUUAUAAACCAUAGGUUCCUAAUAACCAUAAUACUAGGUGAUGACUCCUGAAUCUUAAUCAUAAUCUUAUGAGUAAACCUAAACCCAUUUCCUUUCCCAACACACACCUCUCAGGAGGCACGAAAAGCUCGUCAGCGGCAUCGACAUCGCACCUGCGACACAGUAUACUUGCAAAGGGUUGCUAGACCCAAACUGCUCUACGACACACAAUAUACUUGCACAGGGUUGCAAGACCCAAACUGCUAGGGUCUGGUAACCGUGCCAGAUCCAUGCUCCUAUUUUUAUAAAUAUAGAAAUUUACUUAUAAUUAUUCUAAAAAUAUACUUAUUUUGUAUUUUCAUCUGUCUUUUUAACCAAAAAUAUUUUUAUUUUUUCUAUAUUUCUUUCUUCUAUUUUGGGAUAUUAACCACACACAUCCCUAAAAUUCACUCAAUUUUUUUUAUUAAUCUCUAACUUUAGUGAAGAAAUCAUCUACAAAAUUACACAAAUUAAGAUAAUCCAAAGGACAGUAAGUCUUUUACAUAUACAAUGUUUUCUUUUUCUACAACAUAAUGUAUCAAUUCAAAAGUUCUCUUAUGAUCAUAUAUUUCAAAAUUUUGCAUAUAUUAAUAGUUAUAAUGUAGAAUAAACUCUCAUUGUAACAAGCUUUGACAAUUAAAUCAUGCAACAACAUCUCAAAUUUUAAAAAAAGCAUGAAUCUUUUAAAAAACCGUCCAACAUUUGGAUGGAAACAUAAAAUGAAUAUUUUACAUAUACAAUGUUUUCUUUUUCUACAACAUAAUGUAUCAAUUCAAAAGUUCAAAUGUUUUCUCUUAUGAUCAUAUAUUUCAAAAUUUUGCAUAUAUUAAUAGUUAUAAUAUAGAAUAAACUCUCAUUGUAACAAACUUUGACAAUUAAAUCAUGCAACAUCUCAAAUUUAAAAAAAAACAUGAAUUUUUUAAAAAACUGUCCAACAUUUGGAUGGAAACAUAAAAUGAAUAUUUUCAUCCACAAUGCAUACAAAAAAGAGAAGUUUAUUUUUGAAGACUUGAAAUAAAUCACUCUGAAAUCAACUUUUUUUUUUUUUGCAUUCUGUCCUCUUCGAAUAUAAAAAAUUUAUAAAAUAAGUUGCAAAAAAAAAAAGAGUUCGUAGUUAAGUUCUACUGCAUAUGAAUGAAAAUUCAUGGUUGAAUGAGGCAGUGCUUGAUUUUGCAGUCCAUUCAUGCUUUUGAAAUUUUUAAAAUUUUUUGACCUAUGCACAUGAGUCUGACAUUGUUGCUAGAUCCAGACGCGAGUCUGGCAACAAUGUUAGACCCAAACAUGGUUGCUAGACCCAAAUAUGGUUGCCAGACCAAGGCGCUUGGGCCUGACGUCUUUGUCAGACCCAAGGCGUUUGGGUCUAGAAUGGUUGAUAGACCCAAGACUCUUGAGUCUUGAAUGGUUGAUAAUGCUUCUGGCGUGGUUGCGGCAACCAAGCCAGACCCAAGAUGCUAAAGUGGUAGAGAAAAAGCAAUGAUUGAGAAGAAAAAAAAAGCAAAGAAACGUCUCACAAAAAGAUAAGAAAUUGAAAAUGAAACUACUAUUACAAUCCGCAGUAAAAAGUCUCUUAAUCUACAGUGAUUUCCCAGACCAUUUAGUUUUUGUUAUAAUUAAUUUUCCUAAAAGAUGCUAGAAGGUUUUUUUUUUUUUUUAAAUAAUGGUUUCUUAAUUAUUUUUAUUCUUGUUUAGUUUAGAAAAAUUUUCUUUUAUUUAUAGUAUUUUUAUUUUUUCCCAUUUAAUUAAAAAUUUUGUUCUUUCUUAUUUAAUUUAGUCAUAAGACUAGUAUAAAUAGCAUUGUUUAGUUUAUAUUUUAUAAGACUGCCUAAAAAGAAAAUAUUAAGUAAUAAAAUUUUAAAUUAGGAUUUUGAUGUGUUGAAUAGUCAUGGAUGAAAGAUAUAAUAGAAUAGGAUGUAAUCUUGUAGGGAGGGAGUAGAAUGUUCUCUCUCGAGGGAAAAGACGUUCAAGAAUUGAUGAUGGAAGACAUACAAAUUAAAGACAAGUUGCAAAAUGGACUAUCAGUUAGUGAUGAUAAAUUUAAUUACAGAGAUAAGUUAAAGAAUUAUAACAUCAACUAAACAGGAUAUAAAAAAAAAAAAAAAAAAGAUUGAAUGAUCAUGAGAAUAGUAAUCAUGAAUUCGUAAUUAAUUUUAAGAACUUGUUUUAAAAGCAUAAGUAGACGAGACAAUUUCUUAACAAAGAAGAUGCCUCAGCUUCUUAGUCCAAACCAUCGACAUCUAAGAAGAUCAGCACAUCCAUGUGAAGUGCAUGUCUUCCUGAAUGGAAAUUAAGAGCUCUUCAGGUAGUGGUAAUAGCUCAUACGUUUUCUCAUUCCUUUCUUUGACUGACGUUCUCUUCCAAGUCAACUUAUGUUUGUUUAACUCAUAAUCAUUUUGGUCUUUUUUUUUAAAUUCAUUUUGCACAUCAACUUGUGUUCUCAAAGAAAUUAGAGUCACCUUUGGUCUUUUUUUAAUUCAUUUUCCAUGGAAGCUGAAUAUAUUUCUUCAUUUUUCUUGCCCCACUUCGUUUCUUUUUAAUUGUCCUUGUGAUACGUUGUUUCCAACUGAAAAAUACUUUAAAUUGCUUUUAAAGCAGUCGUUGAUGUCUACAGUGCAACUCCACUUAACCCACACUUCUUCUCAUUCCUUUCUUUGGCGGACAUCCUCCUCUUCCACAUCAACUUGUGUUACGGGGGAGAGACAUUAGAGUCAUAUCGGUCUUUUUUAAUUCAUUUUCCAUUGAAGCUAAACCGAUUUCUUGAUUUUUCUUGCCCGGCUUUGUUCUUUUUGUAUAGCAGUCGUUAAUGUCUACAGUGCAACUCUCCACUUACUCACUUUUUCUCGUUCGUUUCUUUGGCGGACAUCCUCUUCCACAUCAACUUGUGUUACGGGGGAGAGACAUUAGAGUCAUAUCGGUCUUUUUUAAUUCAUUUUCCAUUGAAGCUAAACCGAUUUCUUGAUUUUUCUUGCCCGGCUUUGUUCUUUUUGUAUAGCAGUCGUUAAUGGCCACAGUGCAACUCCACUUACUCACCUUUUCUCGUUCCUUUCUUUGGCCGACAUCCUCUUCCAAUAACUCAUAGUCAUUUAAAAUGACUCAUUUUUGUCCUUUUUUUAAACUCAUUUUCUGUGGAAGCUGAAUCUAUUAAUUAGAUUUGUUUCUUUUUAAUUGCAUUUGUUGUGUCUGUUGUUUCCAACCGCGAAACACCUUAAAUUGCUUUCGUAGCGGUCAUUAACGGCUACAAUACAACUCAUCUUAAUUUAUUUGUUUUUAUGUUUUGAAAGUAUUUUAGAAAAAAAUUAAAUUAAAUUUUAUUUUUUAUUUUAAAUUAAUUGUUUUUAAUAUUUUUAAAUUAUUUUAAUAUAAUAAUGUUAAAAAUAAAAAAUAUAUUUUUGAAAACAACAAUACCACUUAAUCUCAAGUGGUGAUAUUCUUGGAUGUUGAUAGAAAUGACUACGAAGCUGAGGCAUUAUACAAGUUGAGGCAUCUUCUUAAUCACAAUGAUGACUUGAAAGUUUUUAAUCCUUAAUUUCUCUGCUUUGAUCAAUAUAUCUUAUUUUUUAUUUUAUUUUUCUGCUAUGAUGUUGAAAUUAUACCACUACUUGUAAUACACAAGAGAUAUACACAAAUAAUAGAGACAGAAGAGUGAGAAUUAAAAACAAAGUCAGAAUUUUCUUAUUGAUUUUCUCUCUUUCAAUUCCUUUGUGUUUAUUAGGGGUGAUCAUUUUCGGUUCGGUUCGGUUUUUAUCAAAAAAAGUAACCAAACCGAAAUUUUUUUUUUUGAAAAAAAAACCGAAACCGAACCGAAACCGGGUCAAACCGGCCGGUUUCGGUUCGGUUUUUUUAGGGCAAAAACCGGUUCAAACCGAUUUGGCUCGGUUUUUCCGGUUUUGGCUCGGUUUUUUCCGGUUUAGCUCGGUUUUUCCGGUUUGGCUCGGUUUUGGCUCGGUUUUUCCGGAUUGGCUUGGUUUGGCUCGGUUUUUUUUCCGGUUUUUUGUUGGUUUCGGUUCGGUUCGGUUUUUUGUUUAUAAAACCGAAACCGAACCGAACCGGCCGGUUUUUUCAAAAAAUUAAUCGGUUUAAUCGGUUUUUUUUUUCGGUUCGGUUUUUUCGGUUAAUUUUUUUCCGGUUUUCUCGGUUUAAUCGGUUUUCCGGUUUUUUUGCUCACCCCUAGUGUUUAUAUAAAAAUAUUAUUAAUUAUACUUCAAGUAUUAUAAAAUAAUAAAAAAUAAAAGACACUAUAUCCAUCGAUCGACCUUGACUUAUAUAAUUAAUGACUUAAUUUUAAAUUUUCUUACAAUGUCUAUAUGGAAGUUGUGAAGUGAAUGGAUCCCCUGUGUGUUUAAGAAGAUGCCACAUGAAAAAAAUAAUUUUAAUGGUUCAGAUGCCUUAUUUAUCUUAUUAGAUUCUCUAUGAGUUUCAUGCUACAGACCACGCUAGCCAUUAGAAUCUCUCAUCCAAAAAUAAUUAUACGUGUAGGUUUUUUAAUGUAUUUUUAUACAUAAUUUUUUUAAUAUUAAUAUAUUAAAAUAAUCUAAAAACAUAUAAAUAAAUAAAUAAAAUUCAAUUUCUUUCUGAAAUACUUUUACACCACAGAAACCCACGGAAAAGGAAUGAGAAAACGUGUGGGCUAUUGAUGACUUUGAGAAAGACUGAAGCUCUAAAUAAUUUCCUUUGAGGAAGGCUUGCAGUACUUCACAUGCAAGCUGAGGCAUCUUCUUAAACACACUGAAAACUUUUAAAAAAAAAAAAUUAUUUAAAAGUAUAGGGAACGGACACUUAGAGGAUAUUUAUCUAGUGAAAUAGAGAUUGUUUUUUAAAAUGUAUUUUUUUUAAUAUAUUAAAAUAAUAUUUUUUUAAAAGUAUUUUUAAUAUUAGUACAUCAAAAUUAUCUAAAAACAUUAAAGAAAAAUUAAUUUAAAAUGAAAAAAAAUUUAAAAUAUUUUAAAAAAAUAAAAAUAAAUAUAUGAAAAAAAAACUAUAGGGAAAAAUUAAUAGUGUUUUGCGGUUAAGGCUAUAUACCACAUAAUAAGAUAAAUAAGGUUUCUGAAUAAUUAAAAUUAUUUUUUUUACGUGGCAUUUUUUUAAAUACACUACUGACCUAAUAAAAGAGUGAGAAAACAAAUCUAACACUUUCAGUUUUAUAAAAUAAUAAUAAUAAUAAUAAAAGAAAUUAUAUCCAUCGACCUUGACUUAUACAAUUAAUGAUUUAAUUUUAAAUUUUCUUAUAGUGUUUUUGAUAUUAUAAAUAGGGAAGUUGUGAAGUGAAUGGAUUCAAAGUUAAAUACCCGCCAAAUUCUCAUUGCUCUCAAUUAUUACUUCCAUACCCAAUUCGAUAUUAUCUUUUUUUGUGAUCACGCUGCUGAUAAAGCACGACAAGUCGUUUCAUCAUCUUUAUGUGCUCGUUGUGCUUCUGUUGCUCAUGAAACUUGCACCUGGGUUCAUUUCUGGAGUGAAAGGGGCAACUUUCGGGUGCAUAGAGAGGGAGAGACAAGCCCUUCUCAAGUUUAAAGAAGACCUUAUUGAUAACUUUGGUCUUCUUUCAACAUGGGGAAGUGAAGAAGAGAAGAGGGAUUGCUGCAAAUGGAGAGGAGUUGGUUGCAACAAUCGCACUGGUCAUGUUACUCAUCUUGAUCUUCAUCGGGAGAAUGAAUAUUUAGCAGGUAAGAUCAGUAAUUCAUUACUGGAGUUGCAGCAUUUGAGUUACAUGAGUUUAAGAGGAAGCUAUUUUCGGUAUCCAAGUCUCGUGAAUCCUGGAAGCGAUUUUCAAGGGAGUUCGUUUGAAGGGAUUCCUUUUCCAUAUUUUAUUGGGUCUCUAGAAAGUCUAAGAUAUCUUGAUCUCUCUUCUAUGAAUAUUAUGGGUACUCUCUCAAAUCAGUUUUGGAAUCUCUCAAGAUUACAGUAUCUUAAUCUUAGUGAUAAUUAUAAUAUUAAUUUUAAAAGUCUUGACUUUCUCAAUAAUUUAUUUUUUCUUGAAUAUCUUGACAUAAGUAGAAACAAUCUCAAUCAAGCUAUUGAUUGGAUGGAAAUGGUUAACAAGGUCCCUUUUUUAAAAGUCUUACAGUUAAGUGGAUGUCAACUUUCAAAUAUCAAUCCUCCCUCUCUUUUUUUUAUGAAUUCUUCUAAAUUCCUAGCUGUCAUUGAUCUCUCUAAUAACUAUCUUGUUUCUUCAACAUUCAAUUGGUUAUCCAACUUUAGUAACAGCCUUGUUGAUCUGGAUGUUAGUGGGAAUUGGGAUAACAGUUCUAAAAACCUCGAUUGGCUUUCCUAUCUUUUUUCUUUAGAGCAUCUUGACCUGAGUCGCAAUAAGAACCUUAGUAUUGACUGGCUGCAAUUGCCUAACAGGCUCCCUCGCUUACAUGAAUUGUUGUUAAGUUCUUGUAGCCUUUCAAUUAUCGGUUCUCCAUCUCUUUCUCUUGUAAACUCCUCUAAAUCUCUGCUAUCGUUGAUUUCUCUUUCAACGAUCUUUCCUCUUCAAUAUUCUAUUGGUUGGCCAACUUCGGUAUCAGCCUUGUUGAUCUUGACCUCUCAUUUAACCAUUUACAAGGUUCAAUUCCAGAUGCUUUCACAAACAUGACUUCUCUUAGGACUCUUGAUCUAUCCUGUAACCAAUUACAGGGCUCAAAUCCAGAAGCUUUCGCAAACAUGAUUUCUCUUAGGACUCUUCAUCUAUCCUCUAACCAAUUACAAGGCGAUUUGAGUUCAUUUGGGCAGAUGUGCAGUUUAAAUAAACUGUAUAUAAGCGAAAACAGUCUCACUGGAGAGCUGUCUCGGUUGUUUCAAGACUUGCAUGGAUGCGUGGAGAACUCACUAGAGAUUCUACAACUAGACGAAAAUCAGCUUCAUGGUUCAGUGCCCGACAUCACAAGAUUCACUUCCAUGAGAGAGCUGGUUCUCUCUCGGAAUCAACUGAAUGGAUCUUUACCGAAACGAUUUAGUCAACGUUCUAAACUUGUUUUGUUGUACUUGGAUGACAACCAACUCACUGGAUCAGUUACGGAUGUUACGAUGCUUUCAUCAUUGAGAGAGUUGGUGAUUGCUAACAAUCGCUUAGAUGGGAAUGUUUCUGAAAGUAUUGGAGGCCUAUCUCAGCUCGAGAAAUUGGAUGCUGGAAGGAAUUCCCUACAAGGUGUGAUGUCUGAAGCUCACUUUUCAAAUCUCUCCAAAUUAACAGUAUUGGAUUUAACUGAUAAUUCCUUAGCUUUGAAAUUUGAGUCUAAUUGGGCUCCCACUUUUCAAUUAGAUGACAUAUUUCUUUCGUCUUGUAAUUUGGGUCCUCCUUUCCCUCAAUGGCUGCGAAAUCAAAAUAAUUUCAUAAAGCUAGAUAUCUCUGGUUCUGGAAUUUCAGAUACAAUCCCAAAUUGGUUUUGGAACUUGUCUAAUUCCAAGUUGCAACUCUUAAACCUUUCUCACAACAGGAUGUGUGGAAUUUUGCCAGAUUUCUCAUCAAAAUAUUCCAAUCUCCUACACAUAGAUUUGAGUUUCAACCAGUUUGAGGGUCGAUUACCACUUUUUUCAUCAGAUACCACAUCAACCUUGUUUCUCUCUAACAAUAAGUUUUCAGGUCCAGCUUCUUGUCCAUGUAAUAUUGGAAGUGGUAUCUUGAAGGUCCUUGACCUCUCAAAUAACCUGUUGAGGGGAUGGAUUCCUGAUUGUUUAAUGAAUUUCACAAGUCUAAGUGUUCUGAAUUUGGCUAGCAACAACUUUUCAGGUAAAAUUCUCAGCUCCAUUGGAUCAAUGGUCUAUCUUAAAACAUUGAGUUUGCAUAAUAAUAGCUUUGUUGGAGAAUUACCUUUGUCUUUGAGGAAUUGUAGUUCUCUAGCAUUUUUAGACCUGAGCUCAAAUAAGUUGCGAGGAGAAAUUCCAGGCUGGAUAGGAGAAAGCAUGCCAUCUCUGAAAGUCCUUUCCCUACGAUCUAAUGGAUUCAAUGGAAGCAUACUGCCAAAUCUUUGUCACCUAUCAAAUAUUCUGAUCUUGGACCUAUCUCUAAACAAUAUCACAGGAAUCAUUCCAAAGUGCCUUAAUAACCUCACUUCCAUGGUUCAAAAAACAGAGUCAGAAUAUUCCCUUGCGAAUAAUGCUGUUCUUAGUCCGUAUUUCACAUCAGAUAGCUAUGAUGCAUAUCAGAAUAAGAUGAGGGUUGGAUGGAAAGGAAGAGAGGAUGGUUACGAAAGCACACUAGGACUUUUGAGGAUCAUUAAUCUUGCAAGAAAUAAACUAAUUGGAGAAAUUCCAGAAGAGAUAACAGGACUCUUACUGUUGCUUGCACUGAAUUUAUCCGGAAAUACUUUGAGUGGAGAAAUCCCUCAAAAGAUUGGGCAGUUGAAACAGUUGGAAUCGCUUGAUUUGUCAGGAAACCAAUUAUCAGGAGUAAUUCCUAUCACAAUGGCUGAUCUAAAUUUUCUGGCUUUCUUGAACCUCUCCAACAAUCACUUGUCGGGGAGGAUUCCGUCAAGCACUCAGCUGCAAGGCUUUAAUGCUUCACAAUUUACCGGUAACCUUGCAUUGUGCGGGAAGCCACUCUUACAGAAAUGCCCUCGAGAUGAGACGAACCAAAGUCCACCUCCUAAUGAUGACAACCGAGGCAAAGAAGUCGUUGCUGAUGAAUUCAUGAAAUGGUUUUGUACUGCUAUGGGAAUUGGUUUUAGUGUAUUCUUUUGGGGAGUUUCAGGUGCUUUACUGCUAAAACUUUCCUGGAGACAUGCCUAUUUUGUUAGGAUAUUGCCAUUUGUGGCAAUACCCCACCACUAAGCAAGUGGAAGCAUGAAUUGUGCCACAAUUCAUGCCAUGCUUUAAGGCUUUGUUGGCCCCUCCAUGUUGACAAAUGUGUUGGAGGGGCUCACCAUAUUUGCCUAUAAAAGAGACAAUUAUUUGAGAGCAAAGUGAGAGGGUUGAAGUGAGAGAGAACGUGAGUGUGUGCAAGAGAGUGGAGAGAAAGAGAGAGCUGCAAUGGCUGCUGCCAUUGCAGCAGCUGCAAGAGCACCAAAGUUAGCUGAGAGUUGAGUUAGAGUGGAUGUAAUCCUCCUCCUCCAUGUAUCUCUAUAUCUAAUAAAAUGAACCUCUCCCGUGGAUGUAGGCGGUUUUGCCGAACCACGUAAAAAUAUUGUGUCAGUGUGCUUCCCCUCCGUUGAGCAACUAUCAGUACACCCCCGGUCCGCGCAUGGGGGAGCCGGAAUCCCCAACAAUUGGUAUCAGAGCUGAUGGUUUAAAGUGAUGUUUGAUUUUUGCUCAAAAAUGAAAGUUGUCAAAAUUGUGUUUUGACCAUACCACUGUGUAAAGGAGGAAGAGACGAAGCCACCGGUGAAAACGGCGUCAAAAUCGGACGUCGGACAUGGCCGCACUCUCCAUCACUCUCCGGCAAAGCGUCUGCCCACGGGCGCAGACGCGCCCCACGCGUCUUCUUCGCCCGGAUGGGCUGACCCGACCCGAAUACCAGUUGACCCGACCCACAUGGCUGACCCGGAUAUGAAUGACGUCAGCAUGACAUAAUUGUGAUGUCAGCAUGCACAGUAGGCAUGCCAGGGAUGACAUCAGCAUGAUGUAAUUUUGAUGUCAGCAUGCACAGUAGGCAUGCCAGGUCAUUAGACACGUCAUCGACCAGUCAGCAGACACGUCAGCAAAGUGGGACCCACCGGCCACAUCAUCAACCGCGAGUUGAGCCGAGCCGAGCCGCGAGCCGAGUGAUAAGAUUCUGUGCAGCGGAGUCUACGUGCAACCGGAUCUUAGAUUGAAUCUGGGCCGCUAAUCAGACCAGAAUUGUUUUGAUCAAAUCUUAGCCGUCUGAAGUGCGAUUUGGACGAUUUCAGACUUGUUUCCAGCUAAUUUGAUCGUUCCGGAUGCAAUGGUACGGUCCGAUCGUUGAGAUUUGAGACCGAAAGUGGUGGUGGUGAAUUAACAAAAGAGAUUGCCCGAUUAGGAGGCAUCUGAAGGUCAUCAUGGUUGUCGAUGGAGAUGAAGAAGAAGAAGGUGCACAUGUUUACCCAAUUACAUGUGUUGAACUGCUAAGUGGGUAGAAUUUUAACUGCCUUGAAGGAAGGCAAAAUUGGAACACUCUGGACACCCGAUCAUAUGGAUAAUUUGAGGUGAAGAGUGGAAAUUGAUGAAGACCAAUCUUGACGAAUCUAAGCUCUGGUAGUCUUGCCAGAUGUUGAGAACUGAUGUAUUAAACCAGUAUAUUGCAGAUCACUUGUAAAGGAAAGCCGCGACAAAGCUAGCAAAUGGUUGUAUAUACGGAAAGACAGUACGAUGGAUAGAUAUGGCCUGAGAAGUUCUGUCUAGGAGAUUGGGUUUUAAGCGGGACCAAUGUGACCCCUCCAAUCUUUCCUGGGAACUUGCUUAGUGGAAGGAUUAUCCAUACGGUACUAUUUUCAAAUAUAUAGCAGUUUGUAAUGAAACAGUUGAAGACUAGCAAGACGACGGCACAAGGGAACAGUUGGGUUCCGUAUGAUCAAGGCUCUGAUGAAGUGGUGAUUUCUCCAAAGAAGUUAGAUUCGGUGACUGUGAUUUCUCGAAGGGAGAAUUGAUGAAGACCCUGAUAAUGGAAGAGAAAUACAGCAAGGGGAUAAAGAUUGGCACCCUAUUUUGACUUGGACAGGUGUUAUGAUAGGAUGAGCUGCUGUCAAACAUAAGCAAAGAAUAGGGAGAAAUCUGGAGAACAGAAAUUGCACGAGGGCACACGGAGAUUGUGCAGGAGUACCCGUAGGAUCCAACGAGGUACUAUAAUGAGACAACAGGUGCAAGGAGAAGAAGUGUUCCCAGAUGAAGCUCAGAGCAGAGACUGUUAAAGUUUGUACAACAAGAAGUCUCUUAUGCUCUUGAUGAAGACAACAUGCGAAGACAUUUCCAAUGCAUGCAAGGAUGGAAAGAGAGCUGUUGCAGAGGCCCCUAAUUGAGGGGGUGCAAACGCCUGUGAUAAAAGGCGACCGCCUAUGAUGAAAGGCGAAGACACCAAAGAGAGUUGGUGUAGGUGGAGCUGUCAAGCAGAAAGACACAAAAGCUCCAAACAUAGAAAUCGAGGUGGAGGAUUGCGAGGAGUAUACCGCAACUUUCUCUUUCUAUGUAGUCAGUGGCAGUAAUCUCUCCCAUAGUGCACAUGGUGGUAGAGACUUUUGGAGCCACUUUGAAGCAUCUCAGCUGAAGGAGGAUGCGGCCACCUAUGAAAGGUGAAGACACCUUAGAUGGAAGGUGUGUGGGCCGUGAUAGAAGCCCCGAAUCAGACCGCCCCAUGACAACAGGCGAAGACACCUUAGAGAAGGUGUGAGGGCCAUGAUAGGAGCCCCAGUUCAGACCGCCACAUGACGAUGAGCGGAGAUACCUAAGGAGAAGGUGUGUGGGCCACGAUAUAAGCCCAGUUCAGAACAACCCCAAGCCAAUGUGAUGGCUGGAUAUGAGUGGACAGAUGGAUAGCCAAUGAAGUGGCUAUGAUGAGUAUGGAGACAAAUACAGGAUUGACUUUCAUGGAUAUUGCCCCCAUGCUAAAGAUCAAUGAGCUAGAAGACAUUUGCCUUGGACAAUAAGUGUGUGACUUGUGGAGCAUUAAGACGCGGCUGCUAUGACGGAGCAGAGGGCAUGCGCAGGUUCCGGGAACGAGUUGACUCUUGUCAAGGUGGUGAGCUCGGUAAUGGCAUUGUAAUACUCAGAGUAUGAAGACAUAUAUGGAUCAACCUUUAAUGGGCUACCCCCAUGGUUAAAGGUGGAGAGCUACCUGGACUCUUACGACUAAGAGCGAGAGACUCACGGAGAAGUAAGGCGUGGUUCCUAGGGUGGAACAGAGGGCAGGCGCAACUCCUGGAUGAGUAGACUCUUGGAAGAGUGGUGAGCUCGUGAUCACACUGAGAUACUCAGAUAAUGACUGUCGCACUUGGGAAUAUUCUGUUUGAGGGGGUGUUGUAAGCCUUGGUGUAAGGCUUGAAAAAUCAUUCCGGACCGAGCAUGGUUGAUACGCUCGAAGGGGGAUGUUGUGUUGAAGACGCUCUCAGAAUGGAAGCUUGGAAGAGCUGCAGAAUGCAAGCUUGUGCUAAAAAAGCAAGAUGACAAUUGCCCACACAAAUGGCAAAGGGGGUGAUUGUUAGGAUAUUGCCAUUUGUGGCAAUACCCCACCACUAAGCAAGUGGAAGCAUGAAUUGUGCCACAAUUCAUGCCAUGCUUUAAGGCUAUUGGCCCCUCCAUGUUGACCAUGAAAUGCCUAUAAAGGAGGCUUAUAUUUGAGAGAAAAAGAGAGAGAGAGAGAACGUGAGUGUGUGCAAGAGAGUGGAGAGAAAGAGAGCUGCAAUGGCAGCAGCUGCAAGUGCAGCAAGAGAGUUGAUGAGUUGAGUAGAGUGGAUGUAAUCCUCCUCCUCUACAUGUAUUUUUGUAUCCUUUCUCUAAUCUCUAAUAAUAUAGACUCUCUCCCGUGGAUGUAGGCGAUUUGCCGAACCACGUAAAAUAUUGUGUCUCAGUGUGCUUACCCUCCCUUGAGCAACUAUCAGUACACCACCGGUCCGCGCAUGGGGGAGCUGGAAUCCCCAACAUAUUUCCUGUUCUUGGAUGAAUCAUGGGACUGGCUCUAUGUGAAGGUAGCAGUGCGCAAGGCACGAAUUCAACGAGAAUUUCAGAGGCUGCAAGAGCACGUUCUUGCUUAGAAGGAUUGCAAGGUAAUAUGGUUAUUCACAUAUCUUUUCUUUUCUUUUUAUAUUGAAGACUAAUGGAGCAUAACAGGUCCGCUUUGUCCAAGGAGUCCGUAUUGUUAGUGCACGUGUUUGCUGGAGCUACAUCGUGCUUUACCUUGGCAACUUCAUCGUCGUCUACUACUACAAGUUUGAAAUAAGGUUCCAUUGGAGAACUCUUGGUACAGCUGCUGGUUUUAUGUGAAACUAUGAGAGUGAUUAUGUAAUAUAUUAUGGAAUCUCAAAAAAGGGUUCUUAUGUGAAUUUCAUUUGGAACGUUUUUGCAAAUAUUUAGUUCUUUACUUUACAGUGUGAAGAUGGAACAAAUUUAAUUAAAAACACAUGUAAUUUACAUUUUUAUUUAUCUGCUUUUGUUGAAUUAUUGGCAUUAAAUCAAGCAAUUAGCAGGUAUUGAAAUUGAUGUUAAUUCAAGCCUAUACAUGUAAUCACCGGAGGAAAUAAAAUUUCAGAGAAAUUUCUUCGACGAAUAGUUCAAAAGGUAUAAAUCUGUCAAUGGUGAUUGUUGAAAAGCAUGCCCACUCAUAUAAGAAAGGAAGGAGGCGAAAAAAUGGGGUUGCGACGCAGCCGUUGACGAGUUCCAUUGCUAUCUUACUUAAUGAGUCAAUGCUACAAAGCUAUUAAAAGAAUUUUUAAAGGGAUAAGUGAAUUCCUGUACAUUGUGAGAAGUCAUCAGAAGUCAUUCAAUACUGAACAUCAUCGAACACAAGUCGUUUAGCUGACUAAUUGCUUGAUUUUUUCAUGAAUGUAUAAGAAUCUCAAUCUGGAAAUCACAAAGAUUAUGAACUGGGAAAUGAGAUUUCCCUUAGAAUAUGUAAUUUUCUUGCUAAUUAGGCCCAGAAAAUCUAACUCAGAAAAUAUAUCUGUUAUUAUGUUGUUCUGUGCAUGGCAGUGUGAAAUUGGUCUCGCUGCAGAAUUAAUUUAAUUCAUAUUCCCAUGUAGGAUUGCAGCAAUCUAUCUAACGCAUUUAAAAUCGGCAGCAUGCAUGAUUAGUUAAGCAGACAACUAUGCAGAUAUUUUCGAAGACAUUUGUGAAAUGUCCUGAAAAUACAACUGUUCAUCAACUAGUAUUAACAUCUAAUUUCUUGUUUAAUCACCAAUCAGAGAAUAAAACAUCACGCCCUUCAAAUGCUUAUACACCCCAAAGUUUGCCACACCUUUCCACUAAUCAGAAACUUGCAAGUUUGAAUCUAUCCCACACCAUUCCUGCAAAUCUCCUACAUUCAGCAACUGCAUGACCUGAAUAAGAGUCCAAUUUCUAUCCAUGAAGAGCAGCAUAGGUUAAGGUAAGUCCGUAGAUAUUACUGAAAAGCACAACAUUUCAGCAACUCAAGUUUUCACUUUUCAAGACCUUAGUUAACAUCGCUAUAAGCAUCUUUACAAACACGAAAUAUUCACAUCUACAAGGCAAGACUGAUAUUCACCAAAUAUUAGCACUUCUCCAGAAAAUUUAGGUGUUGUCUGCAUCAUCAACAUAAAAAUUACAGUUGCUGAUGCUAUUUGGGAUUGUGAUAGCGAUGAUAAUUCGGUUCAAAAUACUUUUCGUUAAGAAAUAUAUAAAAAAAAUAAUAAUUUUUUUUUAUUUUUUAAAAAUCAUUUUGAAAAUAAAAAUAAUCAAUGUUGGUAUGGCCAUUGACUUUCUUAAAGUGAGUUCGUUAUUUCAUUGAAGAGAGAAAAGCCCAGGCUGGCCAUCAACAGACCAAAGGUUUCAUAAGGCCAUAAGGGUUGGGCGCAAUACCCCUUUUGUGUAGAAGAUGUGAUUACAAAAUAUAGAUAUUUUUUAUUUUAAUAUUUUUUUUAUGGAUAUCUAAUAUUAUUUUCAGUAAAAAUUUUAGGAAUAAAUGUUGUGAAGUUAAUAAAACCCUGAACCUCAUUACAAUAAGUCAUUCUCCGCAAUUCUUCGGGUGAAUCUCGAUACAUCCAUGACUUUUAUUGAACCUCUAUAAAAUUAUGAUGACAACAUGUAUUAAUUAACUAUAUUAGGUAUAUAAAUUUACAAAAAUAUUAGUUUACCUCGAGAUUAUCAACAAACUAAUUACAGUUUCUCAUAAAUAUUAAAUAUUAAUUAUCAAUUAUCAACAUUUAUACAAAUUUAUACAUAUAAAUUUAUAAAAAUUACAACUCCACAAUAACAUUAAUAAAAAUUAAAACAAAUCGUUAAACAAGCUAUUAAUUCCCAUGCAACAUCGAGUGAUAGAGAAGAUUUAAAGCAUUGUGAGUUACCCGACUUUACUUGGAGCCAUUUCCACCAUUUCCCCCACAAUGCUCCUUUAACACUUCCGAAACCUGCCUGCCUGUACCAGUAUUGGGGUUGGAUGUCUUUUCUGAAUUUUGAAGGGGCGUUGGUUUUUCUUGAUUAGCAAAAGCGCCAUCAGUUAUUUCACAAGUCACUUCAGAAACUUCAAUGAUUUUGUCUAUUAUAAGUACAUCUGCAUCUUCAGCUGCAUCCUGAUCCUUACAAACAGCAUCCCGGGUCCAAGUUAUACUGAGAACAGAUAAAUCAGCGAAUCAUAUUAUCUUAGACAAGAAGCAUGAGUAACAACAUACAUGCUAAGCUAGCAAAUAUGCAAGAAAAGAGUAGAAAGUUUGUCAGGAAAAGAUUUAUACCUAUUGUUAAUAGCAUCUUCAGAUAAAUUUGCACCGGCAAUUUCUUCUUGCCUCCUUUUCCUAUUGCUCUGACUUUUCCCUGGUUGAGAAUCAACAGAAUUAUCCACAGAUGAGUUGUCAACUCGUCUUUUCCUUCCAGCCUGUGCUGCUAGAUCAGAAAUUGGGUGCGUGAUCCUUUCAUUUGCAACUUCCACGAUAUCAUAAUCAGCAGCACGUGCUUCCUUUGUAAUAUUGCCUUCAGGAGGCACUCCAGGCAUCACCUUUGGCUCACCAUAAGCAUAUCUAAUAGGCUGGCUUUUGUCAAAAAAUUCUACUGACAUAAACUUUUGCCCACAGUAUCCAUUCGAGGUAUCCAAUGUUCCAGCUUCUAAGAGCCGCGAUCCAUUCAAGCACCAACAAUUUAUUCCGAAAACAACAAACAAUAACACUGACACUUCCAGGAACAAACAUUCAUAAACAACCAUCUCAAAAAUUCUAAACUUUCUUCCUCACAGUUCAAGAUCUAAAGGACCCAGUAGAACAAAAUCAAAAACUAAAAAAAAAUUCUUUGCUUAAACCUCGUUUGGGCAACUAGAAAAUGAAGAAAAAAGAGAGAAUGCGAGGGUCAAAGCUUGCAAAUUGAGUUUUCUGAGACUUGUGCAUGAUUAAGAACAAUGAUAUUUGGCCUGGGCUAAUAUGCUUGUGGUUGAGCAUUGUAGAGUGCUAUUAAUAUCCUUAUGUUACUUGGCCUUGGCUAAUAUGCUUGUGGUUGAGCAUUUUAGCAUGAAAAGCCUGUUCAUUGCAUAUCUGCUGUUGUGUUUGUCCUGAUUUACAAGAUAAGGAAAGCGAUUACAGCUGGAUUUUUUUUCCAUGCAGCUAGAAAGGACCCACAGGAGGGUUAUCGGACUUUGGUUUAGAACCAGCCAGUUUAUAUCCACCCCAGCAGUGCUCUUUUCCAGAGAACCAGACUGGGUCAUCUACCAUGAGCUGGUAAUGACUACAAAAGAGUAUGCGUGAGGUCACGGUUAUAGAUCCCAAAUGGCUUGUGGAACUAGCUCCCAGGUUCUUUAAAGUAUCAGAUCCUACAAAAAUGAGCAAGCGAAAGCGUCACGAACGCAUUGAACCUCUCUACGAUAGAUACCACGAACCUAAUUCAUGCCGUUUGAGUAAAAGGCGAGCUUAAUGUGUUUUGAGUUGUUUAUAUCAACUAGUUUUUAAUCUUAAUUCAUUUUUUCUUGCUAUAAACAUGUAGUUGUACAUACUCUCUGUCUUGAAAGUAGAUAAUGUUUUGAAGAGAUCCGGAAACAUUUAUAUCCCUGAAAAUAACAAGUGAGGUCUUCUUGACAUAGAUAUGGCUGUCACUUGUGCAGCCAUUAACAGUUAUUAGGAUCAAUCUAAGAUUGAUUGUGGAAAGUAACUAGUUUAUUAGGUAAAAUCACUUGGAUUCUUUUUUUUUUUUUCCUUUUCGUCUCAAAGAAAGCUCCAGUCCGAGACCGUUUGAGGCUGAGGGAAAGGUACACAUCCUAGUGCUGAGUCAAGAAUUUGGUGUCUGGAGGGCAUUAUACCAAUGGAUAACCAAUGAAAGAUGUAUCUGGCAAGUUGAAAGCACUGUUCUGAGUCCGAAGCCGUUCAUAUGAAGCAAAAAACUUAAACGUUUUCCUCCUUACUAUAUGUGCUGAAAUGUUUAUAUAUCUGCUUAAACUACACGGUUAGGCUAGCAAUUUAAGUGUUUCGCAGAUGGGAACAACAAAUGCAACUAAAAAGAAAUUAACAAAGUGGAACAAGGAACAAUCCAAGAAAUAGAUUCAGCUUCCAUAGAAAAUGAAAUAAAAAAAGACAGAGAUGGCUAUAAUGUCUCCACCAAGACCCAGACCAUAAGUUGACGCGGCAGAGAAUGUCUAUCAAAUAAAGGAAUGGGAAAACGUGUGGGCUAUUGACGACAUUGACCAAGACGACUUGAAGCUCUUCAUAAUUUCCAUUCAGGAAGACUUUUUUCAAACACACUGAUGUCUAUCAAAAGGGCACGCACAAGUAAAUGUCGAAAGAAAUUUAGAGAAACAGUAAAUGGUUAGUAUAUUAUCAUGGGGUUGUGGUUGGGGUUCGACCAAAUUAUUUAUAAUUUAUAAACUAAAUAAAAAAUAAUUAUACAUGCAGUUUUUCAACGUAUCUUUCCAUAAAAAAUGUUUCUAAGUGUAAAUUGAAAAGUUGAUAAAUACAUUUAAUUAAAUAAAUUUAAAAUUAUAUAUAUUAAUAAAUAAUAAAAAAAUAUUAUUAAUAUUUAAAAAUAAAACUAGAAAAAUUGAAGGCUAGAUACAAAUCAAAACAUUUAAUCUUGCAAGACAAUAUGUUUAUGCAGUUAUGUUUACUUCAUUUAUUUAUUAAAAAUAUUUUUUUAUUAAAUCAAAUGAUAUUCAAAACAAGCACACAUAUUAGAUUGAUUAAAUAAAAUAAAAGUAAAAAAACACUAUACAAGACUACAUGUAUUAGAAAUAUUUACGGAAAAUAAACAUUUUUAAUUUUGAAAUUAAAGUUCUUUAGUACAAAAGAUUAAAAAAAAAUUAUACAUUAAUCAAAAUAAUCUUUUUAAAAAUUAAAUACACACAAUACAUUUAAAAAAUAAUCUCUAAAAAAAUUUUAAAUAUGAAAAAAAAAAUCACAAAUGAGGAAUAUUAAUUAAAACAUAAAUUUAAAAAUUAUUUUUUAAAAACAUUAUUAAAAAAAGAUACCAAUAAAAAAAAGCAAUUAAAAAAAAUAAUAGCUUCAGUGUUGUGGCUUAACUCAUCAAACAUGUCAGUCAACCAUGAACUUAACCGGGUUUAAUAAGUUUUUCCUCUUCAAUUUAUAUCCAACUUUUUUAUUAAAAAAAAAACUAGGAGGGCCAAGAGCCCAGGCGAGUUGUAAUGAAGAGCCCAAGAGUGUUGAUGAACCUAGGCUUAUUUUAAUUUCUUGAAGGUCCUUCCCAAUUUUUUGAAAAAGAAAACAACGAGCAACAUGUCAGAUAAUGUGUCGUCUACAAACCUGGAUUUCAACCACCAUUAUGGUGGUCGAAAAAUUAGGGCAUAGAUAUUUUUUUCACAAUACCCAUUUUUUUAGCCAUUUACACUCAAAAACACCUAACCAACACCCUUAUAACAUCUAAAAACUACUCUAUCAACUCUAAAUAUCCAAAAAAUAGCCUAAAACCCGAAAGCAAAUUGGUUUAGCUAUGGUUUUGCUGGCUUAGAUCUAGUUUUUCAUGCAAUAUUAAAACUCCAAACAACCACCAUGAAGUCCCUCGUAUCUUAAGAAACUCGUGUGUCGUGACAUGCACGAUGUCAAAUGACGGAUUUACUACUUGGAAUUGAAGUGGUUUAGGGUUUCAUCAUAAGUUAUUAUUUAAAGGAGUCGACAGCUAACAUCAUGGUCACUAGAAAAUUUAUGGUAUAUGAGAGCCUAAUUAAGGGGACUAGUUGUGCACGAGGAAGACAUGUUACCCCCAGUGCAUCAUACCUAAGGUAAGUUGUAUUAUUUUUUUUUCUAGGUUAUGUUUCUAUUAGUUGGUUUUAUCUAAGGUUUAAAGCAAUUCUUCUUUCGUGAGAAAAUCUCUACCUUAUUGGGUUAAAUCUUAAUCAUUCUAAGAUCCAAAUUUAACAUCACAUUUAUUUUUUAUUUUGUAUCUUUAACACUUGAAGGUAUACUUCAAAAAUAUAGUUUUAUACCCUAAAUAUUAAAGUAUACAACGAAAUCCUAACACUCUGGAUACGAAUUAAACAAAUUAAUUGUUGUGAGAUUUUUGGUAUUUUAUUCUAAUACUAAAAAAAAUUCAUAAACUAGUUACGAUAUAUAUUUUGUAUUUUUAAAACAUAAUAAAAAUGUUAUUUUAUCUUUUAGAAAAUAUGCAUGAAAAAAAAGCCUUUAGGAGUUGGCCAUAUGCUUGAAAACAAUAUAUAUAUAUAUAUAUAUAUAUAUUUUUUAAUUUUUUUUAAAUUUCAAUUAAACUGAGUAUUUUUAAUAUGGAGUUUGUAUUUGCUUAAUGUUUUCCUCCUUACUAUAUGUGUUGAAUUUAUAUUUAUGCUUAAACAACAUACAUAACAAAUGCAAUUAAAAAGAAAUAAAGCAGUUAAACUGGUUAGAUCUUAGGUUUGCUCUCUAGAGGUCACCAAUUCGAGUCCUACAAAUCUCAGGAUCACUGGAGAUUUAUUUGGUAGUUAACUUCAGGGUCCAUGGAAUCGAGAUGCGCACAAACUGAUCCGGACAUCCACGUUAAUAAUAAUAAUACCGAGUAAUAUAUUCAACUUUCAAAUUAUAAAAAGACCAAGUUGACUAUAAUGUCCCCCUCCAGAAUAUAAGUUGAUGCAGAAGAGAAUAUCUAUCAUAAAAGAAAUUAGAUAAUACUUUCUGUUUAAAAAUAUAUUAAAAUAAUUUUUUUUAAAGAUGUUUUUUUAUAUUAAUAUAUUAAAAUAAUUUUAAAAUAUAUAAUUAAUUUUAAAAAAAUUAAUUUUUUUAAACCACAACGGUUAAAAGAAAGGAAAGAAAGAACGUGUGGGCUAUUGAUGACCUUGACCAAGACUUGAUGCUCUUAAUAAUUUCCAUUGACCAAGACUUGCACUUCACGUGGAAGCUGAGGCAUCUUUCUUUUUAAACACUCUAUCAGUAAACGUCCAAAGAGAUUUAAUAUUUAUAUAUAGAGCAAUUGUGAAGUGAAUGGAUAUUCAAAGUUAAAUUACCCGCCAAAUUCUCAUUGCUCUCAAUUAUUACUUCCAUACCCACUUCGAUAUUAUUAUUAAUUUUUAUUUUUUUGUGUGAUCAUGCUGCUGAUAAAGCACGACAAGUCGUUUCACAAUCUUUAUGUGCUUAUUGUGCUUCUGUUGCUCAUGAAACUUGCUCCUGGGUUCAUUUCUGGAGUGAAAGGGGCAACUUUCGGGUGCAUAGAGAGGGAGAGACAAGCCCUUCUCAAGUUUAAAGAAGACCUUAUUGAUGACUUUGGUCUUCUUUCAACUUGGGGAAGUGAAGAAGAGAAGAGGGAUUGCUGCAAAUGGAGAGGAGUUGGAUGUAGCAAUCGAACCGGUCAUGUUACUCAUCUCGAUCUUCACCGGGAGAAUUACAACGGAUAUUACUACCAAUUAAGUGGUAAUAUCAGCAAUUCACUACUUGAGUUGCAGCAUUUGAGUUACCUGAAUCUAAAUGGAAGCCGUUUUGGAGGGAGUUCUUUUCCAUAUUUCAUUGGGUCCCUAAAAAAAUUAAGAUACCUGGAUCUUUCUUCUAUUCAUGUUGAUGGAACUCUUUCAAAUCAGUUUUGGAACCUUUCAAGAUUACAAUAUCUAGAUCUCAGUUAUAUUCAGGGUGUUAAUUUUACAAGUCUUGACUUCCUUUCCAACUUUUUUUCUCUUCAACAUCUUGACCUGAGAGGCAAUGAUCUUAGUGAGACGAUUGACUGGCUGCAAGUGCUUAACAGGCUCCCUCGCUUACAUGAAUUGUUGUUAAGUUCUUGUAGCCUUUCAAUUAUCGGUUCUCCAUCUCUUUCUCUUGUAAACUCCUCUGAAUCUCUUGCUAUCGUUGAUUUCUCUUUCAACGAUCUUUCCUCUUCAAUAUUCCAUUGGUUGGCCAACUUCGGUAACAGCCUUAUUGAUCUUGACCUCUCACAUAACAAUUUACAAGGUUCAAUUCCAGAUGUUUUCACGAACAUGACCUCUCUUAGGACCCUUGAUCUAUCCUCUAACCAAUUACAAGGCGAUUUGAGUUCAUUUGGGCAGAUGUGCAGUUUAAAUAAGCUGUGUAUAAGCGAAAACAAUCUCAUUGGAGAGCUGUCUCAGUUGUUUGGAUGCGUGGAGAACUCAUUAGAGAUUCUACAACUAGACAGAAAUCAGCUUUAUGGUUCAUUGCCUGACAUCACAAGAUUCACUUCCAUGAGAGAGCUGAAUCUCUCUGGGAAUCAACUGAAUGGAUCUUUACCAGAACGAUUUAGUCAACGUUCUGAACUUGUUUUGUUGUACUUGAAUGACAACCAACUCACUGGAUCACUUACGGAUGUUGCGAUGCUUUCAUCAUUGAGAGAGUUGGGGAUCAGUAACAAUCGAUUAGAUGGGAAUGUUUCUGAAAGUAUUGGAAGCCUAUUUCAGCUCGAGAAAUUGCAUGUUGGAGGGAAUUCCCUACAAGGUGUGAUGUCUGAAGCUCACUUUUCAAAUCUCUCCAAAUUAACGGUAUUGGAUUUAACCGAUAACUCCCUAGCUUUGAAAUUUGAGUCUAACUGGGCUCCCACUUUUCAGUUGGAUCGCAUAUUUCUUUCGUCUUGUGAUUUGGGUCCUCCUUUCCCUCAAUGGCUUCGAAAUCAAACUAAUUUCAUGGAGCUAGAUAUCUCUGGUUCUAGAAUUUCAGAUACAAUCCCUAAUUGGUUUUGGAACUUGUCCAAUUCCAAGUUGGAAUUGUUAGACCUUUCUCACAACAAGAUGAGUGGAUUAUUGCCAGAUUUCUCAUCAAAAUAUGCCAAUCUCCGCAGCAUAGAUUUGAGUUUCAACCAGUUUGAGGGUCCAUUACCGCAUUUUUCAUCAGAUACCACAUCAACCUUGUUUCUCUCUAACAAUAAGUUUUCAGCUUCUUUUCGAUGUGAUAUUGGAAGUGAUAUCUUGAGGGUCCUUGACCUCUCAAAUAACCUGUUGACUGGAUCGAUUCCUGAUUGUUUAAGAGGUCUAGUUGUUCUGAAUUUGGCCAGCAACAACUUUUCAGGUAAAAUUCCCAGCUCCAUUGGAUCAAUGCUCGAACUUCAGACAUUGAGUUUGCAUAAUAAUAGCUUUGUUGGAGAAUUACCUUUGUCUUUGAGGAGUUGUAGUUCUCUAGUAUUUUUAGACCUGAGCUCAAAUAAGUUGCGAGGAGAAAUACCAGGUUGGAUAGGAGAAAGCAUGCCAUCUCUGAAAGUCCUUUCCCUACAAUCUAAUGGAUUCAGUGGAAGCAUACCGCCAAAUCUUUGUCACCUAUCAAAUAUUCUGAUCUUGGACCUAUCUCUAAACAAUAUCUCAGGAAUCAUUCCAAAGUGCCUUAAUAACCUCACUUCCAUGGUUCAAAAAACAGAGUCAGAAUCGAAUAAUGCUGUUCCUAGUAGGUCUUACGUUUUGGAGAGCCGUUACCCGCCUAACACUAACGGGCGCUCUUACAGGUCUUACAAUCUCAGUGAAAUUGGCCCUGUAAUUGUCUAUGUUGAAUAUAUGAAUGAGAUCAGGGUUGGAUGGAAAGGAAGAGCGGAUGUUUAUCGAAGCACACUAGGACUUUUGAGGAUCCUUGAUUUUUCAGGAAAUAAAUUACAAGGUGAAAUUCCAGAAGAAAUAACAGGACUCUUACUGUUGGUUGCACUGAAUUUAUCCGGAAAUAAUUUGACUGGAGAAAUCCCUCAAAAGAUUGGGCAGUUGAAACAGUUGGAAUCACUUGAUUUGUCAGGAAACCAAUUAUCAGGAGUGAUUCCUAUCACAAUGGCUGAUCUAACUUUUCUAUCUUACCUGAACCUCUCCAACAAUCACUUGUCGGGGAGGAUUCCGUCAAGCACUCAGCUGCAAGGCUUUAAUGCUUCACAAUUUACCGGUAACCAUGCAUUGUGCGGGCAGCCACUCUUACAGAAAUGCCCUGGAGAUGAGACGAAUCAAAGUCCACCUGCUAAUGAUGACAACCGAGGCAAAGAAGUCGUUGCUGAUGAAUUCAUGAAAUGGUUUUGUAUUUCUAUGGGAAUUGGUUUUAGUGUAUUCUUUUGGGGAGUUUCAGGUGCUUUACUGCUAAAACGUUCCUGGAGACAUGCCUAUUUCCGGUUCUUGGAUGAAUCAUGGGACUGGCUCUAUGUGAAGGUAGCAGUGCGCAAGGCACGAAUUCAACGAGAAUUUCAGAGGCUGCAAGAGCACGUUCUUGCUUAGAAGGAUUGCAAGGUAAUAUGGUUAUUCACAUAUCUUUUCUUUUCUUUUUAUAUUGAAGACUAAUGGUUCAUUUUAUACCAGGAGGUGCAGCUGGGUGCAUAACAGGUCCUCUUUGUCCAAGGAGUUCGUAGUGUUUGCUGGAGCUACAUCGUCCUUUACCUUGGCAACUUCAUCGUGGUCUACUACUGCAAGUUUGAAAUAAGGUUCCAUUGGAGAACUCUUUGUACAGCUGCUGGGUUUUAUGUGAAACUAUGGAAGUGAUCAUGUAAUAUAUUAUGGAAUCUCAAAGUUGGUUUUUAUAUGAAUUUGAUUUGGAAUGUUUUUGCAAAUAUUUAGUUCUUUACUUACCAGUGUGAAGAUGGAACAUAUUCAUUCUCCAAAUCAAAAAAUUAUGCCAGUACUUGCUUAUUUUGCUACAGAAUUUAAUUAAAAACACAUGUAAUUUACAUUUUUAUUUAUCUGCUUUUGUUGAAUUAUUGGCAUUAUAUCAAGCAAUUAGCAGGUAUUGAAAUUGAUGUUAAUUCAAGCCUAUACAUUUCAGAGAAAUUUCUUCGAAGAUUAGUUCAAAAGGUAUAAAUGUGUCAAUGGUGAUUGUUGAAAAGUAUGCCCAGUCAUAUAAGAAAGGAAGAAGGAGAAAAAAUGGGGUUGCGAUGCAGCCAUUGACGAGUUCCCUUUAAAAGAAUUUUUAGAGGGAUAAGUGAAUUCCUGUACAUUGAGAAGAACAAUGAUGCAUUCACAUAUUGCUUUCUUCUUUGUUUUAGUCAUUUAAAUAUUUUUUAGUAACUUAAUUUGUUUUUCAUUUUGAUCUUUCCAUACCGAGUUUUUUUUGGAUUGAAUUUAAUAAUUUAUUUUGUUAACUUAAUUUAUAUGAAUUUAUGAUAAUGUAAAAAAAAAAUAUUUUUAAAAGUAAGUUGAUUAAAAUUGACUCUAAAACAAAAAUUCAGCCUCCUCUUUUUUUUUCCCCCGCAUUAUAGCUAACGCGUGUUUUGAAGAAUUUUGGGCCCUCAAGUUCUAAUUUUUGCAAGUUCAUCCAUUUUUUCUAAGGCUUUUACAUUUUACUUUAAAAAAUUAUUUUUUGUUCACAUAUUAGUUUUCAAGUUGUUGAAAAAAAAAAAAAAAAAAUUUUUGUUAGCCAGCCAUUUUUUGGUGAUCAAAAACAUUGUUUUUGAUGUUAAUGGUUUUGUUUCACAAAAGAAGUUUAAUUGAAGUAUUUUUUACUUAUCUUGCAAUAAAGAAUAGAUAGGGUCUCCAGAUUUUUUUUUAAAUAUUGAUAAAUUUUUAUUUUUUGACCUAUCAAACAUUUUAAACAUAAUUUUAUUAAGGUUUAUCGGGAAUUUUUUAAAUGUUUUGAGAGAAUAAGUAAGCCACUCAUUAUCUAUCCAUUUAAAAAAAUAAAAAGUGCCCACAGUUAUGCUGGCUUGAUUUUUAAUGGGCCAGUUGGGUCAGUCCCCUAUUUAUUACAAAUUCUAACCCUACUUAUGAAACAAUUGAUAAAGUUUUAAUGAUUGUUAUACUUUGUAAAAAAGUAUGCAAUAUAUAUCUUAAUUUGAUUUAAAGCUUAUAGCAUGACUUUUAAUUUAAUUUAUAUUAACAACAAAUAUAUAUAUUGUUACAAUUCAUAAAUUUAUUUCUCCUAAGAAUAAAUUCAAAACUUAUAUAUAUGUGUGUGUGUGUGUGAGAUUACACGUGUCUUUGCACACACACAUACAUGGUAACUAUAAAAACUUCCCUCGUGACUUGGUUUUGUUUUUAAUAUAGAUAAUUAGAAACGAAUAGGCAUAGUGGGGACUCGACUAAUUAUUUAAGAAUAUAUUAAAUUAUUAUUUUAUUUUAUUAUUUUAAGAGUAACUACCAAUAAUAUAUACAAAAUAAAAGGUUAUUUUUACUAUGUAAUUUCUUUUAAAUUUAUCUUUAUAGUUAUCAUUAAAUUAUUAUUUUAUUUUAUUAUUUUAAGAGUAACUACCAAUAAUUUAUACAAAAUAAAAGGUUACUUUUAUUAUGUGCUUUCUUCUAAAUUUAUCUUUGUGAUUGUCAUUAAUUAUUCUAAUUUUUUAAACUUUUUUAUUUUUAAUUUUAAUUUCUAAUUAUUUUGUGAAAAAAUUGAUUUUAGUCUUUAGAUACAUCAAAAAAUUACACCAGUCCCUAAAAUAGAAGACUUGUCAAAGAUAUUAACGUUAAGUGCUACAAAAAAUUUAAUUGAAAUUGCUAAAACUAAACAUAACCCGUAUUUGAUUUCAAAAUCUGGAUAUCAAUUUUUUUAAAAAAAAAACAUAUAAAAAAUGAUUCUUAUUCCUAAAAAAUCUAGAUAUCAAUAUGUGUUGAACUGUUAUAGAUGAUCAGAAUUGUGAUUUGGACUGCAGGAGAUUUCAUUUUUUCUUGCUACAAACAUGUAGUUGUACAUACUCUCUGUCUUGAAACUUGAUAAUGUUUUGAAGAGAUCCGGAAACAUCCAUAUCCCUGAAAAUAACAAGGGAGAUCUUCUUGACAUCGAUAUGGCUAUCACUUGUGCUGCCAUUAACAGUUAUUUGGAUCAAUCUAAGAUUGAUUGUGGAAACAUUAUAGCCAUCUUCUUAGAUGGAAGUGCUGAUCUUCUUAGAUGUCAAUUUAAGAAAUAGAUUCAGCCUUCCAGUGAGGAAGACUUGCACUUCACAUGGAAGUGCUGAUCUUCUUAGAUGUCAAUGGAAAUGACUAGAAAGUUGAAGCAUCUUCUUAAAAACACUGAUGACUUGAAAAAUCUUUGUCUAAAAGUAAGGGAUCCGCACUAUCAGUAAAUGGUUUUUUCCUAUGAGGUUCACUUGGAGAGCACACUGGUUAGGUGAUCCGCGCUGCACCGCGAGUUAAUCUUUGUUUUGUUAUAAAAAAUGUAAAAAAUAAAUAAAUAUUUUUUAAAACAUAAAAAAAAUAUAAUAUUCAAGUAAUUGACUCGAAUGAAUUUAAUAAACUCUGUUAAUUUAAUAAUAUCAUUAGAAAAUAAGAUAUCGACAACAAAACAAAGCAAAAAAAAAAAAACAACAAUAAUUCAAUGCAAAAGAUGCAUACUUGCCAAUAUUGUGAAAAUAAAUAUUCACAAUAUUCCAAAAGCAUCUCAAUAAUCUUAUUUGUUAACAAAAUAAAAAUUAAAUGAAAAUAGAAUAAUUUCAUAGAAAGAAAACAAAUGUAAAUAUAAAAAAAUAAGAAAAAAAAAGUCAAUUACUGUUUACUUUUUAAAACAUGACCCGAGUUAUAAGACUGAAAACAUUAAAUGUGAAAAAAUCAUAAGGGUUGAAAUCACACACACAAAAAAAAACAACGAAAACAAAUCCAACAUAAAAAAAUCCAACAAAAAAAAAUACAAUAAAAAUAAUGAAUGUUAAAAUUUCAAUAAAAAAAAUAAAUAAAAAGGCAACAACUUUUAAAUUUGAGAGUUAAAUUGUAAAAAAUCAAAAAAUUAAUAAAAUGACAAAAAUUAAAAGAAUAAAGAUAAAAAAAAGCAAUGCACUAUAAACUUGGAUUGAACGGUGAAACUAAAAACAAAUAAACUUUCAUAAAAGAUUUAAGAAAAAAAAUAAAAAAAAAUCAUAAGUAUAAACAUCAAAAUAUAAUUAAAAAAAUUAAUAUAUAGAAUUCUUCAACGUUUUUUUUUACACACAAAAAAACUCCUAGAUGUAAAUCAAAAAACUUAUGCAUGCAUCUAAUUAAACAACACAAUAACUAUUGUGUAAACUAUAAAGCAAUGAAAAAAAACCAUCAACAAUUCAAAAAAAAAUUGAGAAAAUUAAGCAAAAAAUAAAGAUUAAGAUAUCUAACAUUGCAAUAUAUAGAUAAUUUACCUGAUUACAUUUAAUGAAUUUCUUAAUCAAAAUAAAAUUAUAAUAAAAAACACAUAAAAUUUAUAAUAAAAACUGACAGAAACAUCAAAUUUAUUAAACAAUAACUAGCCAUGGAUUUAAUUUUGGUAGCAACGUUAUGCUCCAAUAUCUUUAUCGAAACAAGGUUAGGGUUGGAUGGAAAGGAAGAGAGUAUGAAUAUGAAGUACUCUAGGACUUUUUAGGAUCGUUAAUUAUUUUGCAGGAAACAAAUUAAUAGGGGAGAUUCCAGAAGAAAUAAUUAACAGCACUCUUACAGUUGAUUGCACUGAACUUAUCAGGAAAUAAUUUGACUGGAGCAAUCCCUCAAAAUAUUGGGCGGUUGAAACAGUUACAAUCACUUGAUUUAUCUGGAAACCAAUUAUCAGGAGUAAUUAAUUCCAAUGAAAAUGGAUUAUCUGUAUUUUCUGAAUUCCUUGAACCUCUCUAACAAUCACUUGUUUGGGGGGGGGGGGCAUUCCAUCAAGCUCUCAGCUGCAGAGCUUUGAUGCUUCAGUAUUUUCUGGUAAUGGCUGCCACUCAAACAAAAAUGCCUCGGAGAUGAGACGAAUCAAGGUCCACCUGGAGGCAUGCCUGUUUCCGGUUCUUGGAUGAAUCAUGGGAUUGGCUUUAUGUGAAGGUAGCAGUGUGCAGGCACGGCUUCGAAGAAAAUCUCAGAGCUUGUAUCAGCACGUUCGUUCUUAGAAGGAUUGCAAGGUAAUAUAUUUUCUUUUUCUGUUUCUUUUUAGCACCACAAUCCAUGAGACUAAACCUUUUAUAUUGUAUAUAUUAAUGGUACGUUUUCAUGCAUUCUGGGUUUUCCCUUUUCAUUUUAUAGCAAGAGCUUCAGCUUGGUGCAUAAUAGGUCCUCUUUUGUCUAAGGAGUUCGUAUUGUUAGUGUACGUGUUUGCUGGUGCUACAUCAUUCUUUACCUUGGUGUCUUCGUCGUUGUCUACUACUACAGGUUUGAAGUAAGGUUCCAUUGGAGAACUCUCUGUACACCUGCGGGCUUUUAUAUGAAACUAUGAAAAUGAUUAUGUAAUAAAUUAUGGAAUCUCAAAGUUGGUUAUUGUGAUCGAAUUUCUUUGGUUAGGAAUGUAUAAUUUUGUUGCUUAACUUCGUGAAAAUGUUGUCGUCACGUAUGUAGUUCUUUGCUUAACAGUGUGAAGAUGGAACAUUUUCAUUCUCCAAAUUAAAAAUAUAUAUAUAUGUAAUGCCACAUGCUUAUCUUGCUAUCUCAGUAAUAAAUUCGCAGUAAAGCAAACCUCCUGAGAUUUGCAUUUUGUUCUUUUUGUUCACAGCCGGAGCUGCCUAUUGAUGGUGCGAGAUAGAAACUGAAACAGCAAAAACACCUCACCCACACCAUGCAUCAUUUUAUUCCAUUCACUUCACUAUUCUGCACAUUUUCUCUCCAAAGCAAAGCUGAAUUUGCUCAGAGGGGAGAGAGAAGAAAAGGAGAGAGAGAGAAAGAGUAACUGAGGACAAACUGCAGCUCUGUUUCCGACAUACCAAUUACCAUUGAAAAGAUAUAAACAAGAUGAACUUGAUGAGACCGUAGAAGACCAUCAAAAGUGCUCAAAAAAGGAAAUUUCAUCAAAAUUGUUAAGAAUAGACAUAACCCGUAUUUGAUUUUAAAAUCUAGAUAUCAGUUUCUUUUUUAAAAAAAAGACGUACAAAAAAUAACUCUUAUCCCUAAAAAAGAAGAUUUUAUCGAGGCUGUUAAAAGAAUGGGGUGUUAGACCCAUAUGGCCGAUAAGAAUUGGGUUUGGACUGCAGGAGAUUUCAUUUCUUCUUGCUACAAACGUGUAGGUGUACAUACUCUCUGUCUUGAAACUUAUAAUGUUUUGAAAAGAUCCGGUAACAUUUAUACCCCCUGAAAAUGGAAAUGACUAGGAAGCUGAGGCAUCUUCGUAGACAUAAUGAUCUUGAAAUUAAAAGGUGGGUAGUAGUUUUGAUAUUAACAUAUUAAAAUAAUUUGAAAAUAAAAAAAAUAAAAAAAAUUAAUUUGAAAUAAAAAAAAAAUUUAAAUUUUUUUACAAUAAUUUUUUUUUAGGGAAACAAUAGAUAGUUUUUGCUUAUAAAUAUAGGUUAUAGACCAUAUAAUAAGAUAAAUAAAACAUCUGAACCAUUGAAAUUAUGUUUUUCACGUGUCAUAUCUUAACCCGUUGUCUUAAACAAAUAAUAAUAAUAAUAAUAAUAAAGAAUUUCUAUUUAUCCCAAAAGCUCAUCCCAAUUUUUCAUUUUCCUUUAGCCUCUCUCAUCUCAUUCUUGCAAUUGUACCUUUCAAUGUCCAUCAAGGUUAUGUUUGUUUUUUAAAAAGUAAUUUUUGAAAAAUUACUUUUUAAAUUUUCUUAUAUUUAUUUACUAUUAGAAAAGUUGGUUAACGAAAAAUACUUUCCAGUCAAAGAAAAAUUUAGCUUGGAUUUCAAGAAAGUAUUUUCCUGGAAAAUUUGGGCAGAAAAUAUUUUCCAGAAGUUGUGAAAAAUUUAGAUAUGUCAUAUUAUUUGCUGAUUAUAUCAAAUUUGAUCUUCAAAUUUUUGAUUGCUAUAUAUAUUUUGUUUUGAAUAUUUAUUUUUCAAUUUCAUCUCUUAAAAUUUAAUUUUUAUAUUAACUUUGGUCCUCAUUUUUAUAAUUGUUAUUUGUUUUUCCCUUAUCAUUUUUUUAUUGAAAUUUUUUAUCUAUCAAAUUUGAUCCUCAUUCUUUUGAUUGUUACUUAUUUUAUUUGAAAUAAUUUAUGAAAUGUUAAUUAUUAUUAUUUUAAUUUCUUCAUCUUUUAUUUUUUUAUUUUUUAGAUUUGAUCUCUAUUAUUUUGAUUAUUAUUUAUUUUAUUUGAGAUAAUUUAUGAAAUUAUUUUUUUUUCAAUUUCAUUCUCAUUCAAUUUUUUAAUUUGUAAGAUUUGUUCCUCAUUAUUUUAAUAAACUUGAGAAAAGUAAAACAUUAAUAAGUUAUUUUCUAGCUCAUUUUCCAUGACAUAACCAAAUACUGGAAAGUGUUUUCCAACUUAUUUUUCAUUACACUAUCAAACAUCAGAAAAUAAUUCACUUUCCUGAAAUUUACUUAAAAAAAAAAACUUUCCAACAAAUAAACAGGUACAAAUCUCAAUUCAUUGAUUUCCUUCACCAAUCUCUUAUGAAGCCAACAUGCUCGACGAAGAACACCAUCACUUUGUCCAGAUGUUUUUUUUUCUCCUAAAAUUACUAAUAUGCUAAAGGAGACUUGUAGAGCACGGUAGCAUCUUCUACUUUUCAUCAACACUCAAAUCAAUAUCCAUGACCAUUUUUUCAUUCUAGCUCCCUCAAGUUUUUAAUCCUUUCUGCUUUGGUCAAUAAAUCUUUUUUUUCCUGCUAUGAUGUUUAAAUUAUACCGCUACUUGUAAUAUAUGAGAGAUAUACGCAAAUAAUAAAGACAGAAGAGUGAGAAUUAAAAAGAAAUUAAGUGAAAACUUUCUUACUGAUUCUCUCUCUUUUCUUUGUGUUUAUGAAGUAUUAUUAAUUAUAAAAUUAUAAAAUAUAUAUAUCCAUCUAAUCUUAUACAUCAACCUUGACUGAAUUUUAUGAACAUAUCCCGUGGAGAUAUUGCACACCAAACUGUUGGGGGAGAGACCACUGAUAAUUUUAAUUUUUUAAAAAAAUAUUUUUAAAACUCAAAUAAAUAUAUUGAAAUAAAUUUUUUUUAUGGAACAGCAUAAUAAGAUAAAUAAGGUAUCUAAACUAUUGAAAUAAAUUUUUCCAAGUGAUAUCUUCUUAAACACUAAUGACUUGAAAAGUCUUUGCUAAAAAAUAAUGGGCACCCACUAUAGUAAAUGUCCAAAGAAAUUUAGAGAAAUAGUAAAUGGUUUUUGCCUACAAGGUUAGUAGACGUGUAUAUUUUCCCAUGCUCUAUCAGAGCGUUGGAUCAAAUUAUUUAUAAUUUAUAAACUAAAUAAUUUAUAAACUAAUUAAAUAGAAAAAAUUAAAAUAUAUUUUUAAAUUAAAUAGAAAAAAUAGUAAAUGGUUUUUGCCUACAAGGUUAGUAGACCAUAAGUUGAUGCGGGAGAGAAUGUCUAUCAAAUAAAGGAAUGGAAAAACGUGUGGGCUAUUGAUGACUUUGACGAAGACUUGAAGCUCUUAAUAAUUUCCUUUCAGAAGAUAUUUUUUUAAAAACAUACUGAUGACUUGGAAGUCUUUUCCCAGAAGCAAGAGGCACGCAGAAGUAACACAAAAACAAAUAUAUCAAAAUAAAAAAGAAAUUUAGAAAAAACAGUAAAUAGUUUUUGUGUACGAGGUUAAGGCUAUAGAACACAUAGUUAAAUAAAUAAGGCUAUAGAAAAAAAAUUAAUUAAAAGUAAGGAAAUUUUUUAAAAAUACUUUUAAAACACAAAAAUAAAUAUAUUCAAAUAAAAUAAAUUAAAAAAAUAGUAAAUGGUUUUUGGUUUUUUCCACACGACAUCUUCUUUAAACACAUUGAAUAAUUUGAAAGUCUUUGCCCAAAAAUAUGAGGCACACACAGGAUGUUUAAUAGCGUAGUAGAGAUUAUUUGUUAAAAUAUUUUUUUAUUUAGAAAUGUAUUAAAAUAAUAUUUUUUUAAUUUUUAAAAAAUUUAUUUUUGAUAUUGUUACAUUGAAAUGAGCUAAAAGCACAAAAAAAAAAUUAAUUUAAAGCAAAGAAAAAAAAUUUAAUUUUUUUUUAAAAUAUUUUUUAAACACAAAAAUAAAUAUAUUAAAAUAAAAAAAAUAGAGAAACAAUAUAUAUUUUUUGGUUUUUUCCACGUGACAUCUUCUUUAAACACAUUGAAUAAUUCGAAAGUCUUUGCCCAAAAAUAUGGGGCACGCACGGGAUGUUUAAUAGUAUAGUAGAGAUUAUUUGUUAAAAUAUUUUUUUUAUUUAGAAAUGUAUUAAAAUAAUAUUUUUUUAAUUUUAAAAAAUUUAUUUUUGAUAUUGUUACAUUAAAAUGAUCUAAAAGCACAAAGAAAAAAUUAAUUUGAAGUAAAGAAAAAAAAUUUAAUUUUUUUUUAAAAUAUUUUUAAAAUACAAAAACAAAUAUAUUAAAAUAAAAUUAAUUAGAAAAACAGUAUGUACUUUUUUUGUUUUUUCCACGUGACAUCUCUUUAAACACACUAGACUUCAAAAGUCUAUGUACAAAAGAAUGGGGCACACAUAAUUCUAGGAUGUUUAACAGUGUAGUGAAAAUUAUUUUUUAAAAUAUUUUUUUGUUUAAAAAUGUAUUAAAAUAAUAUUUUUUUAUGUUUUAAAAUUUAUUUUUGAUAUUAGUAUAUUAAAAUGAUCUAAAAACACAAAAAAAAAAUUUAAAGCAAAGAAAAAAAAUUUAAUUUCUCUAAAUAUACUUUUAAAAGACAAAAACAAAUAUAUCCAAAUAAAAAAAAUAAAAAAAAAAUUAGAGAAACAUUAAAUUGUUUUUGGUUUUUCCAACGUGACAUCUUCUUAAACACACCGAAGACUUCAAAAGUCUUUGCCAAAAAGUAUUGAGCACAAAGUUUGACAGUGUAGUUGAGUUUUUUGUAAUGUUUUUAUUUAAAAAUAUAUUAAAAUAAUAUUUUUUUAUUUUUAAAAAUUAAUUUUAACAUUAACAUAUUAAAAUAAUUUGAAAGCAAAAAAAAUUAAUUUAAAAUAAAAAAAUAUUUUUUAAAAAAUACUUUUGAAACUCAAAAAUAAAUAUAUCCAAAUAAUGUUUUUUUAUGGAAACAACAUAUUAAAUUAAAUAAGGCAUCUGGACUAUUAAAAUUAAUUUUUCCACGUGAUAUUAGUUGGAAUUUUUUUUUUAUCGUUAUCUCUCUUUCCUUUGUGUUUAUGAAGUAUUAUUAAUUACACUUUAAGUAUUAUAAAAUAAUAAAAAAUAAAAGAAAUUAUAUCCAUCGACCUUGACUUAUAUAUCCAAUAUAAUGACUUAAUUUCAAAUUUUCUUAUUAUUAUCUUGAAGAAAAAGAAAAAAGAGAAGACAAGUCAACUUAAAAUUUAUUUAAAAAGGAUUACAAGAACCCAACAAAAAUGCUUUUUUUGCUUCAUUUUCAUAGCGAUAAUAAUGCCCAAAAACUAUGUUUUAAUUAUUGUGCUUGUAUUGUUGCACAUCCCUUUUCCUGGAUUCAUUACAGGGGCAACAGGGGGGGAAAUUGGGUGCAUUGAGCGGGAGAGACAAGCACUUCUUAAGUUUAAAGAAGAUAUUAUUGAUGAAGAUGGUGUUCUUUCUUCUUGGGGGGGUGAAGAAGAGAAAAGAGAUUGCUGCAAGUGGAGAGGAGUUGGCUGUGACAACAUAACUGGUCAUGUUACUUCACUUAAUCUUCAUUCCUCACCUUUGUAUGAGCAUCAUUUUACGCCUCUAACAGGCAAGGUUAGUAAUUCAUUACUUGAGUUGCAGCAUUUGAAUUACUUGGACCUGAGUUUGAAUAAUCUUGAUGAGAGUAUCAUGGAUUUCAUUGGCUCCCUAAGCAGCCUAAGAUACCUGAACCUCUCCUACAACCUUUUCACUGUAACUAUCCCAUAUCACCUCAGGAACCUCUCAAGAUUGCAGUCUCUUGAUCUCAGCUAUAGUUUUGAUGCCAGUGUUGAAAAUCUUGGCUGGCUUUCUCAUCUUUCUUCUUUGGAGCAUCUUGAUUUGAGUGGUUCCGACCUCAGCAAGGUAAAUGACUGGCUGCAAGUGGUUACCAACCUCCCUCGCCUAAAAGACUUGCGAUUAAAUCAGUGUAGUCUUACGGAUAUAAUUCCUUCACCUCUUUCUUUCAUGAACUCUUCUAAAUUUCUUGCUGUACUCCAUCUCUCUAAUAACAAUCUUUCUUCUGCAAUAUACCCCUGGCUGUAUAACUUAAGUAACAGCCUUGCUGACCUUGACCUUUCUGGUAACCAGUUACAAGGUUUGGUUCCAGAUGGCUUCAGAAAGAUGAGUGCUCUUACAAAUCUUGUUCUAUCCCGUAAUCAGCUUGAAGGUGGCAUUCCAAGAUCUCUUGGGGAGAUGUGCAGCUUGCAUACGCUAGAUUUGUGCCACAACAAUCUCACCGGGGAGCUUUCUGAUCUCACUCGGAACUUAUAUGGACGCACAGAGAGCUCGCUGGAGAUUUUAAGAUUAUGCCAGAAUCAGCUCCGUGGUUCAUUGACUGAUAUUGCUAGAUUUUCUUCCUUGAGAGAAUUAGAUAUCUCGAAUAAUCAACUGAAUGGGUCUAUACCAGAAAGUAUUGGAUUCCUUUCCAAGCUUGACUAUUUCGAUGUUUCUUUUAAUUCUUUGCAAGGUUUGGUGUCUGGCGGACAUUUUUCUAAUCUCUCCAAAUUAAAGCACUUGGAUUUGUCUUAUAAUUCCUUAGUUUUGAGAUUCAAAUCCGAUUGGGACCCUGCUUUUCAAUUGAAAAACAUUCAUCUUAGUUCAUGCCACUUGGGGCCUUGUUUCCCAAAAUGGCUGCGAACUCAGAUAAAAGUCCGUUUGCUAGAUAUCUCCAGUGCUAGUAUUUCAGAUACCGUCCCUAAUUGGUUUUGGAACCUACUGCCUAAGUUGGCUUUCUUAAACAUAUCUCACAACUUGAUGAGGGGAACACUGCCAGAUUUUUCAUCAGUAGAUGCAGUUGAUGAUACAUUCCCUGGGUUUGAUUUGAGUUUUAAUCGGUUUGAGGGUCUACUGCCAGCUUUUCCUUUUAACACAGCCUCAUUGAUUCUUUCUAACAAUUUGUUUUCAGGGCCAAUUUCUCUUAUAUGCAAUAUUGUAGGCAAGGCUUUGAGCUUCCUUGAUCUGUCAAACAAUCUGUUAACCGGACAACUUCCAAAUUGUUUCAUGAAUUGGAGCACACUCGUUGUUCUGAAUUUGGCUAACAACAAUUUGUCAGGUGAAAUUCCAAGCUCUGUUGGAUCAUUGUUUUCCCUUCAAACAUUGAGUUUAAACAAAAAUAGCCUCUAUGGAGAAUUGCCUAUGUCUUUAAAAAACUGUAGCAUGUUGAAAUUCUUGGACCUUAGUAGAAACCAAUUAUCCGGAGAAAUACCAGCUUGGAUAGGAGAAAGCCUCUCAUCUUUGAUGUUCCUUUCCCUUAAAUCUAAUGAAUUCAUUGGAAGCAUCCCACUACAUCUUUGUCAGCUAACAAAUCUUAGGAUCUUGGACCUCUCCCAAAACACCAUCUCUGGAGCCAUACCAAAGUGUCUCAACAAUCUAACUACUAUGGUUCUGAAAGGAGAAGCAGAGACUAUCAUUGACAAUCUUUACUUGACUUCUAUGAGAUGUGGAGCAAUUUUUUCUGGACGCUACUAUAUCAAUAAGGCAUGGGUUGGAUGGAAAGGAAGAGAUUAUGAGUAUGAGAGAUACCUUGGACUGCUGCGUGUCAUUGAUUUUGCAGGCAACAAUUUAUCUGGAGAAAUUCCAGAGGAAAUAACUGGCCUGCUUGGGUUGGUUGCUCUGAAUUUGUCAAGAAAUAAUUUGACUGGAGUAAUCCCCCAAACAAUUGGGCUGUUGAAAUCGUUAGAAUCUCUUGAUUUGUCAGGAAAUCAGUUCUCUGGUGCAAUUCCAGUCACAAUGGGCGAUCUGAAUUUUCUGAGUUACUUGAAUGUCUCCUACAACAACUUGUCUGGGCAAAUCCCAUCAAGCACUCAGCUUCAGAGCUUUGAUGCUUCAGCUUUUAUUGGCAAUCCUGCUUUGUGUGGUCUACCAGUCACCAAUAAAUGCCUUGGAGGUGAUUUGCCUCGAAAUUUAGUGAUGAAUGGUGUGAUCCAAGACAAUCAAGAAACUGUUCAUGAGUUCAGUGCAUGGUUUUGUACUGCUAUGGGAAUUGGUUUUAGUGUAUUCUUUUGGGGAGUUUCAGGUGCUUUACUGCUCAUACGUUCCUGGAGACAUGCCUAUUUCCGGUUCUUGGAUGAAUCAUGGGACUGGCUCUAUGUGAAGGUAGCAGUGCGCAAGGCACGACUUCAACGAGAAUUUCAGAGGCUGCACGAGCACGUUCUUGCUUAGAAGGAUUGCAAGGUAACAUGGUUAUUCACACGUCUUUUCCUUUCUUUUUUUAAUGAAGACUAAUGGCCCGUUUUCGCGCUUUCCAUUUUAUACCAGGAGCUGCAGCUGGGUGCAUAACAGGUCCGCUUUGUCCAAGGAGUCCGUAUUUUUUGUGCACGUGUUUCUUGAGAUACAUCGUCGUGUUUGUACACCUGCUGGGUUUUAUGUGAAACUAUGAGAGUGAUUAUGUAAUAUAUUUUGGAAUCUCAAAGUUGGUUUUUAUAUGAAUUUCAUUUGGAAUGUUUUUGCAAAUAUUUAGUUCUUUACUUAACAGUGUGAAGAUGGAACACAUUCAUUCUCCAAAUAAAAAAAUUAUGCCAGUACGUACUUGCUUAUUUUGCUACAGAAUUUAAUUAAAAACACAUGUAAUUUACAUUUUUAUUUAUCUGCUUUUUUUGAAUUAUUGGCAUUAAAUCAAGCAAUUAGCAGGUAUUGAAAUUGAUGUUACUUCAAGCCUAUACAAGUAAUCACCGGAGGAAAUAAAAUUUCAGAGAAAUUUCUUCGAAGAUUAGUUCAAAAAUUAUAAAUGUGUCAAUGGUGAUUGUUGAAAAGUAUGCCCAGUCAUAUAAGAAAGGAGAAAAAAUUUCAAAGAAAUUCGCAUAUUGCUUUCUUCUUUGUUUUCGUCAUUUAAAUAUUUUUUUCAGUCAUUUAAAAGUAUGCCCAUAUCAAGUUUUUUUGGAUUUGAUUUAUUAAUUUAUUUUUGUUAACUUAAUUUGUAUGAGUUUCCGAUAAAAGGUAAUCCAUGUUUGAUUUUAAAAUUUGGAUAUCAGUUUAUCUCUAAGAAAGAAUGACUGAGGACAAACUGAAGCUCUGUUACUGUUGAAAAGAUAUAAAUGAGAUGAACUCAAUGAGACCUUAGAAGACCAUUAAAAGUGGCCAGAGUGACCACACGCCCACGCCCUGCUUAUAAAAGGAAAUUUCAUCAAAAUUGCUAAAAAUAGAGGUAAUCCAUUAAAAAGAAAUUAACGAAGGGGGACAAGAAAAAUCCAAGAAAUGAAAACAUUUUUUAAAACUAUUGAUGACUUUGACGAAGACUUGCAGCUCUUAUUAAUUUCCUUUCAGAAGACAUAUUUUUUUUAAAACAUACUGAUGACUUGGAAGUCUUUUCCCAGAAGCAAGGGGCACGCACAAGUAACACAAAAACAAAUAUAUCAAAAUAAAAAAGAAAUUUAGAAAAAACUGUAAAUAGUUUUUGUGUACGAGGUUAAGGCUAUAGAACACAUAGUUAAAUAAAUAAGGCAUCUAAACCAUUUAAAUUAUUUAUUUCUUAUGGCAUCUUCUUAAACACACAGAUGAUCUUUACCUAAAAAUAUGGGGCAUGCACAAUUCCUUCAGGACGUUUAAUAAUAUAGUAAAAAUUAUUUUUUAAAAUAUUUUUUAUUUAAAAAUAUAUUAAAAUAAUAUUUUUUUAUGUUUUAAAAAUUAUUAUUGAUAUUAGUAUAUUAAAAUGAUCUAAAAACACAAAUAAAAAAAAUAAAUUUAAAGCAAAGAAAAAAAAUUUAAUUUCUUUAAAAAUACUUUUAAAAGACAAAAAUAAAUAUAUCCAAAUAAAAAAAUUUAGAGAAACAUUAAAUUGUUUUUGGUUUUUUCCACGUGCCAUCUUCUUAAACACACCGAAUACUUGAAAAUCUUUGCCCAAAAGUAUCGAGCACGAAGCUUGACAGUGUAGCUGAGUUUCUUUUAAUUUUUUUAUUUAAAAAUAUAUUAAAAUAAUAUUUUUUAUUUUUAAAAAAUAAUUUUAACAUUAACCUAUUAAAAUAAUUUGAAAGCAAAAAAAUAUUAAUUUAAAAUUAAAAAAAUACUUUUUUAAAAAUACUUUUGAAACUCAAAAAUAAUUAUAUCCAAAUAAAUUAUUUUUUAUGGAAACAACAUAUUAAAUUAAAUAAGGCAUCUGAACUAUUAAAAUUAAUUUUUCCACGUGAUAUUAGUUGGAAUUUUGUUUUUAUUAUUAUCUCUCUUUCCUUUGUGUUUGUGGAAGUAUUAUUAGUUACACUUUAAGUAUUAUAAAAUAAUAAAAAAUAAAAGAAAUUAUAUCCAUCGACCUUGACUUAUACAAUAUAAUGAUUUAAUUUUAAAUUUUCUUAUAGUGUUUAUCCAACUGCAUCUACAAGGAAAAUAAAUGGAAGUUAUAGUAAAAUUAGAGAAUUGCCGGUAUAAAAAUGUUGAGGUGCCGUUCUGAAAGUUUAUCGGGCUCAUCUUUUCCACUGCCUCUGAAAUCAGGCAGAACAUCUAAGAAAUCCUUCCUCGAAUCACUUUGAAGCAAACUUUCUUAUUCUUCACCCUCUCCUUGACAAACUUUGAAGCAGUCUCCAUGGCCUUCCCAAGAUCUCUCUCCAAGUGCAGGUCUGCCCAGAAAAUAAUUUCCAUUCAGGAAGACUUUUUUUUAAACACACUGAUGACUUGGAAGUCUUUUCCCAGAAGUAAGGGGCACGCACAAAUAACUGUCGGAAGAAAUUUAGAGAAACAGUAAAUGGUUUUUGCGUAUACAUUGUAUCCGUAGAUUCUCUAUAUAUGAGGUUCAGGCUUCAGACCAUACUAAAUCAAAAAACUCAUACAAUGUCUUUGAGCAAUGUAUAUGUCUUUUUAAAAAAAUACUUUUACACCACAGAAACAGAUGGUUGAAAGAAAAGAAUGAGAAAACGUGUGGGUUAUUGAUGACUUUGAGCAAGACUGAAGCCCUAAAUAAUUUCCAUUGAUGAUCAAGGCAAGCACUUCACAUGGAAGUGCUGAUUUCUUAGAUGUCAACGGAAAUGACUACGAAGAUGAGAUAUCUUUUUAAAUACAUUGAUGACUUGAAAAGUCUUUAUUUACCACUGUUAUAAAUUUAUUUGAAUAAAUCUCACUUAAUUAGUACAGCCUCUAGCACCUUUUUUUUCCUCCUUUGAACAAGCCUUUUCCCUUGAUAUCUGGUAGAUCGGCGAAUACCAAUAUAUAUAUUCUGAAGUUUUUUUUUUAUUAUUCAAUAAUGCUCUUAAUUUUAAGGCAGGGCAAUUCUGGAUUCCAAAAGUUAGCUACAUAAAAACAUUCAUAAUCACCUGAAGCUUUGCCAGCAAAAUCGUAAAUUUCAAAAAAGAUUUCAGUUCAUGUAAUUGAAUAAGCCUGUCCUCAUAGCUAUAAAUAUAUUUCCUUGGUACCUUUAAUGGGAGGGAACAUGUGUAGUGGGUGCGUGGGGCAAUAAGAAUGGCCUGUACAUAUUCCGACAUUAUAUGACCUCUUCGGUUUGUAACUGGUCAAAUUCCGAAUUAUAUUGAUCGAAACUGCACUUACACGACAGAUAUUUGAUCAGAAGAUGACAAAAAAACAACAGAGUGCGAUCAUUUUGUAUGGUAUAGAAAAUCGCAUCACAGUUCUCUCUUUAAAAUAGCAACAGGAUAAGGGAUGCUAUUAUCAAUUCAUAUUUCUUUGAUAAAAAAAAAUAAAAAAAAUCCAUAAUUUCCCCCGCAAAAGAAAGGAACGGCGUUCACGAGCAGAGCACGCGCCUCCAUUGGCAUAGGCUUUUAUUAAAAAAAAAUACCAAAAGUGCAAUCAUAGCUAGUGAGGCAUCCUAUGAAGAAAUUGCGAGUGAUUACCCAAUUAAAAAACAGAUUAAUUAAAAAAACGAAUUGUUAAAAUAAAUGGAACAAAUCAAUUAGAAAAGAAAAAAACCAAAGGAUACAAAUAUUAAAACUUACUUCUUCUAACCCUAUUAAAACUGGUAUAAAAAUGUUGAAGUUAUAGUGUUUAUCCAACUUCAACAUUCAUCCAAAAAAGAUUAUAUAUGUAGGCUUUUUAAUGUAUUUUUAUAUAUAAAAAAGUUUUUAAAUGUAAAUCAAGAAACUCAUACAAUGUCUUUGAGCAAUGUAUAAUUAUACAGUGUCUUCUUAAAAAAAUACUUUUACAUGGUUGAAAGAAAGGAAUGAGAAAACGUGGGGGUUAUUGAUGACUUCGAGCAAGACUGAAGCCCUAAAUAAUUUCCAUUGAUGAUCAAGGCAAGCACUUCACAUGGAAGUGCUGAUUUCUUAGAUGUCAACGGAAAUGACUAGGAAGAUGAAACACAUUGAUGACUUGAAAAGUCUUUAUCUAAAAGUAUGGGGCAUGCACAAUUAGAGAAUGUUUAGGGGUGAGUAGAGGUUAUAUUUAAUUUUUUUUUAAUAUAUUAAAAUAAUAAUUUUUUAUUUUUUAAAAAAUAUUUUAACAUUAGUAUAUCAAAAUAAUUUGAAAACAUCAAGAAAAAAUCAAUUUAAAAUAAAAAAAAAAUUAUUUUUUUAAAAUAAUACUUUUAAAAUACAAAAACAAAUAUAUCCAAAUAAAUGUUUUUUAGGAAACAAUAAAUGGUUUUUGCGUAUGAGGUUAAGGCUAUAAACCACAUAAUAAGAUGAAUAAGGAAUUUGAAUCAUUGAAAUUAUUUUUUUCAUGUGGCAUCUUCUUAAACGCACUGAUGACUUGAAAAGUCUUUACCCAAAGUAUGGGGCACGCAUAAUUAGAGGAUGUUUAACUUUAGUAGAGAUUGAUUUUUAAAAUAUUUUUUAUUUAUAAAUAAAUUAAAAUAUUAUUUUUUUUAAAAAAAAUAUUUUUUAUAUUAGUAUAUCAAAAUGAUCUGAAAACAUCAAAAAAAAAUUAAUUUAAAAUAAAAAAAAUUAACUUUUUUAAAAAUUACUUUUGAAACAUAAAAAUAAAUAUAUCCCAAUAAAAGUUUUUUAGGAAACAAUAAAUGGUUUUUGCCAACGAGGUUAAGGCUAUAAACCACAUAAUAAGAUAAAUAGGGCAUGUGAACCAUUGAAAUUAUUUUUUCCACAUGGCAUCUUAUUAAACACACUAAUGACUUGAAAAGUCUUUGUCCAAAAGCAUGGGGGCAUGCAUGAUUAGAGGAUGUUUAGCAAUAUAAUAGAGAUUGUUUUUUGUUCAGAAAUGUAUUAAAAUAAUUUUUUUUAAUUUUAAAAAAUUAUUUUUGAUAUUAGUCCAUCAAAAUAAUCUGAAAGUACUAAAAAAAUUAAUUUAAAGCAAAGAAAAAAUAUUUAAAUUAUUUUUAAAACAGAAAAACAAAUAUAUCCUAAUAAAUAUUUUUAGGGUAACAAUAAAUGGUUUUUGCCUAUAAAGUUAAGGCUAAGACCAUAUAAUAAGAUAAAUAAGACAUCUGAACCAUUUAAAUUAUUUUUUUCAAGUGGCAUCUUCUUAAACAUAUUGAUGACUUGAAAAGUCUUUGCCUAAAAACAUGGGGUACGUAUAAUUAGAGGAUGUAACGGUAAUGUAGUAGAGGUUGUUUUUUAAAAUGUUUUUUGUUUAGAAAUGUAUUAAAAUAAUUUUUUAUUAUUUUUUUAAAAUUAUUUUUGAUAUUAGCACAUUAAAAUGAUAUGAAAGCACCAAAAAAAAUAAUUUAAAGCAAAUAAUUUUUUAAAAAAUACUUAGGGGCACAUAUUAUCAAUAAAUGUCUGAAGACAUUUAGAGAAGCAGUAUUUUUUUAAUUUUAUUUUUCUGCGAUGAUGUUUAAGUUAUAUCACUACUUGUAAUACAUGAGAGAUACCAUAAAAGAGUGAGAAAUAAAAAAAAUUUUGAAUUUUUUUUAAUUUUCUCUCUUUAUUAUUAGUUACAUUUUAAGUAUUAUAAAAUAAUAAAAACAAAAGAAAUUAUAUCCAUCAACCUUGACUUAUAUAAUUAAUGACUUAAUUUUAAAUUUUCUUAUAGUGUUUUUUAUAUUAUAUAUAGGGAAGUUGUGAAGUGAAUGGAUUCAAAGUUACAUUUCCCACCAAAUUCUCAUUGCUCUCAAUUAUUAUUUCCAUACCCACUUCGAUAUUAUCUUUUUUUUUUUUGUGAUCAUGCUGCUGAUAAAGCACGACAGGUCGUUUCAUCAUCUUUAUGUGCUUAUUGUGCUUCUGUUGCUCAUGAAACUUGCUCCUGGGUUCAUUUCUGGAGUGAAAGGGGCAACUUUCGGGUGCAUAGAGAGGGAGAGACAAGCCCUUCUCAAGUUUAAAGAAGACCUUAUUGAUGACUUUGGUCUUCUUUCAACUUGGGGAAGUGAAGAAGAGAAGAGGGAUUGCUGCAAAUGGAGAGGAGUUCGAUGCAACAAUCGAACUGGUCAUGUUACUCAUCUUGAUCUUCACCAGGAGAAU